AACGAACGCUGGCGGCAUGCCUAACACAUGCAAGUCGAACGAAGCCUUCGGGCUUAGUGGCGCACGGGUGCGUAACGCGUGGAAAUCUGCCCCUUGCUUCGGAAUAACAGUUAGAAAUGACUGCUAAUACCGGAUGAAGUCUUCGGACCAAAGAUUUAUCGGCAAGGGAUGAGCCCGCGUAGGAUUAGGUAGUUGGUGGGGUAAAGGCCUACCAAGCCGACGAUCCUUAGCUGGUCUGAGAGGAUGAUCAGCCACACUGGGACUGAGACACGGCCCAGACUCCUACGGGAGGCAGCAGUGGGGAAUAUUGGACAAUGGACGCAAGUCUGAUCCAGCAAUGCCGCGUGAGUGAUGAAGGCCUUAGGGUUGUAAAGCUCUUUUACCAGGGAUGAUAAUGACAGUACCUGGAGAAUAAGCUGGCUAACUCCGUG
rnacentral:rRNA from 1 species